GACGGGGGCCCGCACAAGCAGCGGAGCAUGUGGUUUAAUUCGACGCAACGCGAAGAACCUUACCAGGUCUUGACAUCCAGUAAAAGCCAUAGAGAUAUGGUGUGUCUUCGGACAUACUGAGACAGGUGGUGCAUGGUUGUCGUCAGCUCGUGUCGUGAGAUGUUGGGUUAAGUCCCGCAACGAGCGCAACCCUUGCUGAUAGUUACUAACAGGUAAAGCUGAGGACUCUAUUAGGACUGCCGGGGACAACUCGGAGGAAGGUGGGGACGACGUCAAAUCAUCAUGCCCCUUAUGACCUGGGCUACACACGUGCUACAAUGGCCGUUACAAAGAGGUGCAAAGCCGCAAGGUGGAGCAGAUCUCAAAAAAGCGGUCUCAGUUCGGAUUGUGGGCUGCAACCCGCCCACAUGAAGUCGGAGUUGCUAGUAAUCGCGGAUCAGCAUGCCGCGGUGAAUACGUUCCCGGGCCUUGUACACACCGCCCGUCACACCAUGGGAGUUGGUAGCACCCGAAACUGGUGAGGUAACCGCAAGGAGCCAGCCAGCUAAGUUGAGACCAAGGGUUGGGGUGAAGUCCUAACAAGGUAGGGU
rnacentral:rRNA from 1 species